CCUACGGGAGGCUGCAGUGGGGAAUAUUGCACAAUGGGCGAAAGCCUGAUGCAGCGACGCCGCGUGAGUGAAGAAGUAUUUCGGUAUGUAAAGCUCUAUCAGCAGGGAAGAAAAUGACGGUACCUGACUAAGAAGCACCGGCUAAAUACGUGCCAGCAGCCGCGGUAAUACGUAUGGUGCAAGCGUUAUCCGGAUUUACUGGGUGUAAAGGGAGCGUAGGUGGCAAGGCAAGCCAGAAGUGAAAACCCGGGGCUCAACCGCGGGAUUGCUUUUGGAACUGUCAUGCUUGAGUGCCGGAGGGGUAAGCGGAAUUCCUAGUGUAGCGGUGAAAUGCGUAGAUAUUAGGAGGAACACCAGUAGCGAAGGCGGCUUACUGGACGGUAACUGACGUUGAGGCUCGAAAGCGUGGGGAGCAAACAGGAUU
rnacentral:rRNA from 1 species